rnacentral:lncRNA from 1 species
GAAUUCUUUUGAAUUUUUUUUUCAUGAUAAAUAAAGCCUAUAUUUGCUCACUCCAAUAUCCCACAAAUUCAUAUACUGCAUGGCAAUAAAUAAAUUAAUAAAUUACUCUGUUGUCUGGCACCAUAGUAAGAAUGGCUAUUACAAUGUCAAGACAAGAUAUAAGGAAUUCAUGUGCCAAACCAGGUGCAAGGGGAUUGAAAAAAAGCCUUUGGUAUUUGAAAGUACCACCAAAAGUAUAAAUAAAUAAAUAAAUAAAAAAGAAAAAAGAAUUCUUAUGGAGAGAGCAUGUAGAGACUAUCUUCCAACUAGAUCAAAUCUCAAACAGAAAGGUAUCUUCGCCUCUAAUCUAAGUAUGCUUUGUGACUCAGUUGUGGAAUGCAACAAACAUUUGUUUGUGUCUUGCCCGUUUGCUACUUCUUGUUGGAGCAAAGUUGACGAAUGUGACUGAGCUGCUGCAAAUGUUUUUUGAAAGUUCUUGUCGAGUGAUUUUUCAUUAUCUUAGCCAACCGAGAUGCGUUUGAUGUUUCUGUUAGGACUGUUUGUCUAAGAAGUCAGAUGGUCAAGACCACCUUAUAGUCAGUUGAUGCUGCUAUGGGUACUCUCUUGUCCAACUUAUUUUGUGGGUUAAUGGUU